rnacentral:rRNA from 1 species
AAACAAUCCCCAAAUCGAACAACUCCACGACCCUAACCCGUGCCCUGUCGCCGCCCACCUCGCGCUCGAUCCACGGUCCGGACGCCAUCGCCGCCGGCCUCGCGCUCGAUCCAAAGUACGGCCGCCAUCGCCGCCGGCCUCGCGCUCGACCCCGUCGUCAAGCCGUCGUCCCGGAGGUCGCACCCCCUCCCCCAAGCUCCACCCCACAUCCACCCAUCCUCGCACUCUGCCCCCUCUCCCCGAGAUCGAGCCGCGGUCCUCGCACUCCACAAUCCGACGGCCGUCCUCGUGUCCUCCUGACAUCCAGCCGUCGUCCUCGCGAAUCUCCAUCCCUACUACCUCCGGGGCUCCAUCAUCGUGCUCCCGUUGCUGCCGGAUCUGCUGCUAUCGGGGCUCCAUUGCCGGCCUCCCGCUGCUGCCGGACAUGCUGAUGCCAGGGAUCCAUCUCCAGGCUCAUUACGCUGCUACCGGACCUGCUGCCGGGGCUCCAUCUCCUUCGAGCUGUGCCCCUCCCGAAUCCAGCCGUCCCCGUGCCUUGAGCCAAAUUCAGAUACUUGGCAAAUUUGAUAUUAAUGGUGCAUCAUGGACAAAACGUGGUUGUCUAAGCCUAGAUCAGUUGACAACGAAGCUCGGGGACGUGAUAUGGCGCUCGGUGUAGGUGGCCAUGGUGGACCUGAAGCUGGCUGAGAUAAGCGAUGGGGUCAGUGUUGUGCUCCUCCCGUUCUCAUUAACCAAAUAGUGCAGACUGUGGCUGUAUGACUCGUGUAUAUAUCCACUUGUACCACCAAAAUCAAACUGAUAGCAAGAACUUGAUAUAGUGCUAAGUUAUAGUUCGUAAACAGAUCCAUAUUAGUUUAGAGAUCCGCACAACAAAUUUAUACAUUCAGAAUGACCACCAAAAUCCAGCAGCACAAUUAACUAGAUUGGAAGAAUUUAUUUGAUUAAUAUGUGCACAUGAAACAACAAAUUAACCCGUGUGAACUAUCCACAUCGGUCUGAGUUAUGCUGAACUUUUUGAUCUUUUUACUAACCACAUCGGUGGUCUAAAAGAAUUAAUGAGUAGCAACACAGACUAAGAAAUUGCUAUUUAUCUUAUCUAUGCUAAGAAACCGGAGACUGAAUUUACCAACAUGGAAGGAUUCCUCAAGAGCACAUCAGCACCUGAAGCUGCUGCUGUCGCAGCUCUGCAAUUUUUCUUCUUUCCGGACGCCCGACAGCCCGAGCAUGCAAGAGCAGCAGCACGAGCAGGCCGUGCUGUGCAACAUCAGCAGAGCGCUCUCAGUGCAGCGGAACUACUCGGGCGUCUCUGAUGACAGUAUAUUUGAUACUGAAGUUGAAGAUUGUAGCACGGCAUUCGUACUAGUAAUAAUUACAUAUCAAAGAUGCCAAGAAGACAACUAAUGUGCCAGGAGGUGCAGGUACUUAGCCACACCUAGCAUUGGAUGUGACGAGGACUUGGAGUGUUAUGGAACACAUAUGGCUGUUUGCAGUAUUUUGGACCAACCAACUUCAAUCAUUUCUUGAAUCUUAUGUGUGUUCUGGACCAUUUGGUGCUUCAAGUGUUUUGGAGUAGAAACUUUGUGCUCAUGUAUGUGAUUUAUGUGUUUUGGACCAUUGUUUGAAUUAGUUCAGACUAGCAAAUAGUGGCCCUUUGACUUGUGUGUUCUGGAUGGUCAAACUAUGCUUGUGAACCUGUGUGAAUAUAUAUUUAUGUAUGUUUGUGAACCUAUCAUCAUUGUUGUCCAAUAUGUGUUCAUCUUGAUGUUGUUUGUUGAUCGCAUUUGACAUUGUAUAUAGUAUAUGUAUCAAAUCAUUGGUUUGGC